rnacentral:piRNA from 1 species
UCACAGAACACCAGCUUGUUGGG